rnacentral:rRNA from 1 species
UACGAACCGUACAAACGUUAUUCGGAAUCACUGGGCUUAAAGGGUGCGUAGGCGGCCAUGUAAGUGAGGUGUGAAAUCCCUCGGCUCAACCGAGGAACUGCGCUUCAUACUGCAUGGCUUGCGGGAGACAGGGGUAAGCGGAACUGAUGGUGGAGCGGUGAAAUGCGUUGAUAUCAUCAGGAACACCGGUGGCGAAAGCGGCUUACUGGGUCUCUUCUGACGCUGAGGUACGAAAGCUAGGGUAGCGAACGGG